GAUUUGGGGAGUUUUUCCCAUUCUUCCUUGCACAUCCUCUCAAGCUCAGUGAGGUUGGAUGGGCAGUGUCGGUGCACAGCUACUUUCAGGUCUUUCCAAAGAUGUUCAAUCGGGUGCAAGUCUGGGCUCUGGCUGGGCCACUCAAGGACAUUCAGAGACUUGUCCUGAAGCCACUCCUUUGUCUUCUUAGCCGUGUGCUUAAGGUCAUUGUCAUGCUGGAAGAUGAAGUGUCGACCCAGUCGAAGGUCUAGAGCGCUCUGGAGCAGGUUUUCAUCAAGGAUUUCGAUGUACUUAGCUGCAUUCAUUUUCCCCUCGAUCCUGACAAGUCUCCCAGUUUCUGCCACUGAAAAACAUCCCCACAGCAUGAUGCUGCCACCACCAUGCUUCAGUGUAGGGACGGUAUUGGCGAGGUGGUGAGCGGUGCCUGGAUUCCUCCAGACAAGACGCUUGGCAUUCAGGCCAAAGAGUUUGAUCUUCGUUUCCUCGGACCAGAGAAUUUUGUUUCUCCCGGGGCCUGUUCUACGAAGCAGGAUUACUGCUUAGCGAGGUAACUUCGAGGAUAAGUUCGGGGUUUCCUGUUCUACGACGCGGGUUCACCUCUUAGCGAGGCGAGUCUCCAUAGCAACAUACGCUGAACGGCUAAACUGCUCCGGGGCAGGUUGAGUUCCAGAUUGAACUCAAAGAGUAUAAGAACCCCGCCCACUGACCAAUGAGCUCUCUCGAAAAACGGCUUGUCCGUUCUCGGAGGAUCCUGUAGACAUCGGUUCUCGCAUUGUCCGAGGAGGAGCACUCCGGCUCGCGAGAGUUUACAGGGAGAGUUUUCUCCGGAUGACCACCUUUAUGAAAGGCUCAUAUGGCCGACAUACUACACAAAACAUGUAAACACGAUAGGAAUAAACAAAUGAAUGAUUCAUUUUGGAAAUGAAUGGGCAUGGGCUGCGCGAUCACAGACAACAUCUCGGUACUAUUUGGUAGCAGCGCACGCCGCUUAUAAUAGCCCCGUAAAUACUGUUGUUCAGGACUGCUUACUUGUGCUUCCUACCUACUGUAACAACCGUUGUUCUAGCCCACAUGCAACAUUUUUGUUCUCAUUCAUGAAACGCUUAAAUCGGGGACAUUUUCGGGGACAGCUUUAGCCGGGGACAGAUCAUCCAAUUCGGGGACUGUCACCUUAGUUAAAAGUGCGUGUUGAACAGUGCUAUUUCAGGGUGAUAAUGGCUUCAAAGAUGCAUUUUCUGCCAGCAUUCCUUCCGUGCUUUUGCAGCGGCGACGGUGUUGCUUUUGAGGUUUAUGAUAGCUUUCAAUUCUUCAUACUUUCUCAUGAUCGUCUUCUGCUCCUCGUUUGUAAAGUACGCGGUCCUUCACUCUCCAGCCUGCUCUGACGCUCCAGACUGAUCCAUGUUCGCGAUUGGUCAGAUGCGGCGGGCUCCGCCUUAUAUGUGUGCACGCGCUCAUAGCAGAGCUGGAUCCACUUAUGAGGUUGAUAACCAGCGUCGUGAAACCGCUUAGCGAGACCGCUGGCUACCACGCUAAGUUGAGCGAGGUAGCUCCAAGGCUACCUCGCUAGGUUGAACCUGUUUCGUAGAACAGGCCCCGGGUCUGUGAGUCCUUCAGGUGCCUUCUAGCAAAGUCCAAGCGGGCUGUCAUGUGCUUUUUACUGAGGAGUGGCUUCUGUCUGGCCACUCUACCAGUGUUGUUUUCGUCAGGCAGGACGAAAACGACGUCAGACUCCUUUUUUCCUUGACGAAAAUGCGACUAAGACGAACGUCACCAAAGCUCUGUAAAGACUAAAAUGUGACGAAAAUUGUAUUCAUUUUCGUCAGACGAGAACGAGACGAGACUAAAUUGUUAUUAGGUGGACGAACAAAGUUUCAAAACAUGCUUUUUUUUGUCCUAACAGUCACGCCCCCAUCACACACGCAACAAAAGCCUCGCUCGCGCACAGCUGCGCGCACACACUCAUACACAUACACAGAGCGGCAGGUGGACGAGGCGCGCACACACACACACCGUGGCGGCAGGCACAGCAGCGGUGCCCAGUGGCCGAAAAAAGAGGGAUGCCUUAUGGUCCUACUUCAGAUACAGUCCAAGUGACAAUAAAACACAAUGUCUUGUACAGGGACGGGGAGACGAGACAGCCGACAGUUGUGGAGCCACAGCUUCCUCAUGCUGCGGCUUCAAACUGUCGGGAAAGAACACCACGAACCUCAAAAGGCACCUUUUCGAGAGACUAAAACUAGACUAAAACCUUUUGAGUUUUCGUCGGACUAAAACUAGACGAAAACUAUCAAGGAUAGAAAUGACUAAAAUGGGACUAAAACGAGGAAGCAUUUCGUCAAAAUGACUAAGACUAAAACUAAAUCUAAAAUGCCUGCCAAAAACAACACUGCACUCUACCAUAAAUGCCUGACUGGUGGAGUGCUGCAGAGAUGGUGGUCCUUCUGUAGGGUUCUCCCAUCUCCUCAGAGGAACGCUGGAACUCUGUCAGAGUGACCAUCGGGUUCUUCGUCACCUCCCUGACCAAGGCCCUUCUCCCCCGCUUGCUCAUUUCGGCUGGGCGGCCAGCUCUAGGAAGAGUCCUGGUGGUUCCAAACGUCUCCCAUUUCUUAAUGAUGGAGACCACUGUGCUUUUUGGGAUCUUCAAUGCAGCAGAUAUUUUUCUGUAACCUUCCCCAGAUCUGUGCACCGAUACAACCCUGUUUUGGACCUCUAUAGACAAUUCUUUCGACUUCAUGGCUUGGUUUGUGCUCUGACGUGCUCUAUCAGCUGUGGGAUCUUAUAUAGACAGGUGUGGCUUUCCAAAUCAUGUCCAAUCAGCUGAAUUUGCCACAGGUGGACUGCAAUCAAGUUGGAGGAACAUUUUAAGGCUGAUCAGUGGAAACAGGAUGCACCUGAGCUCAAUUUUGAGUUUUAUAGCAAAGGGUGUGAAUACUUAUGUAUAUGCAACAUUUGAGUGUCUUAUUUUUAAUAAAUUUGCAAAAUGUUCUAGAAAAGUUUUGCGCUUUGUCAGUAUUGGGUAUUUUGUGUAGAAUUUUUGAGGGAAAAGGGGAAUUUAAUUUAUUUUGGAAUUAUUUUGGAGUGAGGCUGUAAAAUGUUGAAAAAGUGAAGUGGUUUGAAUACUUUCCAGAUGCACUGUAGUUUACUGCCCCAAAAAGUCACUUUGAGGGUCUCUGAUAAAGUGCUAUAUGAAAUCUGAUCAACCAAAUAAAUUAGAAUUUUAAGCACAAGAAAAUAAUUUAUAUCUGAUUAAUUACUUUAUAACAGCAAAUACUACAGAGAUAGAAAAUGUACCUAACAUUUUGAGUAAAACGAGGCUCCUGCCUAUGAAAAACAAGUGGACUUUACUUAAUUUGUUUGAAAAAAUAUAACUUUAAACUUGGAUGUAAUUGAGUAAAUGUUACUUAAUAUCUUCACAUCUGUUAUGUUUUAUGGAAAGUAAAAUUUACUUGAUACUGGCAAGUGAGUGUUAAUUGACAUUACAGCAUUAAAUUUUCCUUAAAUCAUGUGUGCAAAUACUAACAAUAUAUAUAUAUUUUUAAGUAAAUCUUAUGAGUUAUUUUUUUCAGUGCAAUAGUUCACAACUCAAGACACGACCCACAAAAUCACAAUUAAAGCUGACAAUAAAAUGACAAAAACAUUAAGGAUUAAAAUCAAGUCAUGAUAAAGUGCUCUAGACAACAACCAUUCUAAAACAAUACUCUGCAAAGUGCUAAAAUGCAUUUGAGUCUCCCUAAAAUCAUACAUUAUAUAGUAAAGUGAAUCAUCUAAUGCUCAUUUUGUUAAAAAGUUUAAUAUCUGCAGGUACAACAGUAUUUCUGUGGUGUUUUGUUCUCCUUUUAGGAGCGACAAAGCAACACUGUAAACAGAGAAGCUGUAACUCUGAGUUUAGAGGGUGAGAUGAGUCAUGGUAGACAGAGCUUGCUUCCAGCCUCUCACAGGUAUUCACAGUGAAAGGACAAAGUCUUUUGGAGAGGUGGUCUGUCAUAGAAAGUUUGUUGAACUCUGAGUGAAAGCAGAGGGAGGUGAAGUUUGGAUCCUGAGUUCUGACAGGAAGCUGCUCUGGUUUUAUUCACAGUGGUCCUGUUCAUGAUGCAGCCUGCAUACAAUUACCAUUAAUGUGGCUGCAGCUUUGCAACAAUGUGUGUGUGUGUGUGUGUGUGUGUGUGUGUGUGUGUGUGUGUGUGUGUGUGUGUGUGUGUGUGUGUGUGUGUGUGUGUGUGUGUGUGUGUGAAAGAGAAAGAGAAAGAGAAAGAAAAAGAGAGAGAACUUGUAAUGCGCAUAUUAAACACAGUGACGGUGAAAUCGGGUAAUGUGGGGUGAUGUAAACUCACACAGAGAGGAGAGGGGGGUCUAAUAGAGAGGAGAAAGAGGCUGAGCUGAGGAGGUGCUGCCAGUCUGCACGUACGCCACCACAUGAGGGGGGUGGAGGGGGGGUGGGGGCUGGCAGAGCGGUGACAGGGUGAAGUCUCACGUCGCCUGUUGGCACGCAGAGAUCUGAGCAGAUCACGUCACAGAGCGGGCAUGAAUGCUCUUUGUGGGACAUGAUGAAUGUAAUCAUUCAUGUCGAUUGGAGGGAGCUAAAUUUGAGCUGAUGAGGAUGGGGAGGGUGGCGGCCAUCAAAAGGUCCUCUCUGGUCAGGGAAGGUGAUCUCUGUCAGCUGAAUGUGGCAUCUAAAUCACUCUGUGAAUCAUUAGGUUCAUCCUGUCCUACUGGUGUCCUCCUGAGCUUCAUCUCCAGCUCCAACUGGAACACUUCACCCAGCCCAGACGGCUUUAUGGGUCACCAGGGACCCAGCAUGGAGAGGAAGCCAAGUGGGAAAAUCCUCUGAUCUGAGCUCCGCUGCAGGAGGUUUGACAGAAAGAGUGUCUGUGCUUUAACAGACACUGUGAUCUUACCAUAUAUGAUACUACAGCUCCUAUUCCACUCACAACACAUUAAUUUAAACACGCCAGAAAACCCAACAGCUGUGGCAGCAACACAGACUAUCAUUAAUUUAUGUAUUUUCUUGUUAAUGUAUGCAGGCCCUCACUCAAAAUGCAUGACUGGGCCUUUAAUGCAAGGACGGAUUCAGCCAUAAAAAAAAGAAGCAUGCAUUUAUGAGUCAAACAGAGGAAGGUUAGAGUUUGCACAUUAUAACAGAGUUUCUACAAAUGCUGGUUUCUAUGGUGUCUUAUAGACAGCCAGCACUUUGUUUCUGCAAUUGAUUACUGAACUACACUUUAAAUUUGAACAGUGAGUCUUGAAGACUUUUAUUGUCUUGAAUGACCUUUGCAAGACUGUACAUGUUUUAUUGAAUUAUGUAUUGUAUUGUCUUGUAUUGUAUUGUUUGUUUUAUUUGUGGACCCCAGGAAGAGUAGCUGCUACCUUGGUGGCAGCUAAUGGGGAUCCGUAUGAAUAAAGAAUGAAUAAAGAAUGAAUAAAGAAUGAAUAAAGAGGUUGCAGUGUGAGAGCUGGCAGGUGUGUGGCUGGAACUGCUGAGGAUCCACAGCUUGCAGUAUGAAAAGAUCUGGAGCACCUCCUACAGGAGAAACUGAGUCAGUUGGUAUGCUCUUUUUGAGCUUCUCUGUGUGUUAAACUCUGCUGUUAUUGUAAUCUUGAUAUAUCACAUAGAUCCAGUGGUGGACAAAGUACUCAACUCCAUCACUUGAGUAAAAGUAAAUAUACUCCUAGUCAAAUUUUACUCCAAUACAAGUGAAAGAUGCUCAGUAAAAUUUUGACUUAAGUUAAAGUUUUGGAGUAUCUGUUUUUGAAAAUACUUAAAGUACAGUUACGUUUUUAUGUUAAUGCCUUAUUGUGUUGUUGCCACAAUGAAUUUACAGAACAUAACAACUGAGACUACCUGCUGGAUGACCUGCUUGUAGAACCUGUAGAACGAAAAACUUGUAGGUUAUGCUUCGAAGCCUAAAGAAAUAACUAAAACCCAAGUGAAUCGACAAAUCGACACAAUUCGUUGCUUUAUUUGUAAGUGCAAGUUAAAGCUCUGCUGUGCAAAGCAAAAGCCAUUCAUCAACAACAUCCAGAAACACCGCUGGCUUCUCUGGGCCCGAGCUCAUCUAAGAUGGACUAAUGCAAGGUGGAGAAGUGUUCUGUGGUCUGACGAGUCCUCAUUUCAAAUUAUUUUUGGAAAUAGUGGACGUCGUGUCCUUCAGGCCAAAGAUGGAAAGAACCAUCUGGACUGUUAUCGAUGCAAAGUUCAAAAGCCAGCAUCUGUGAUGGUAUGGGGGUGCAUUAGUGCCCAAGGCAUGGGUAACUUCCACAUCUGUGAAGGCAACAUCAAUGCUGAAAGGUACAUACAGGUUUUGGAGCGACAUAUGCUGCCAUCCAAGCAACGUCUUUUUCAUGGAUGCCCCUGCUUAUUUCAGCAAGACAAUGCCAAGCCACAUUCUGCACGUGUUACAACAGCGUGGCUUCGUAGUAAAAGAGUGCGGGUACUCGUCUGGCCUGCCAGCAGUCCAGACCUGUCUUCCAUUGAAAAUGUGUGGCGCAUUAUGAAGUAUAAAAUAUGACAACGGAGACCCCAGACUGUUGAACAACUGAAGCUGUACAUCAAGCAAGAAUGGGACAGAAUUCCACCUUCAAAGCUUCAACGAUCAGUCUCCUCGGUUCCCAAACAUUUAUUGAGUGUUGUUAAAAGGAAAGGUGAUGUAACACAGUGGUAAACAUGCUCCUGUCCCAACUACUUUGUCACGCGUUGCAGCCAUGAAAUUCUGAAGUUAAUUAUGAUUUGCAAAAAAAAAAUAAAGUUUAUGAGUUUGAACAUCAAAUAUCUUGUCUUUGUAGUGUAUUCAGUUGAAUAUAGGUUGAAAGGGAUUUGAAAAUCAUUGUAUUCUGUUUUUAUUUACGUUUAUCACCAUUUCCCAACUUCAUUGGAAUUGGGUUUUGUAUCUGCCUCAAGUGGACUGAAUCUGGACGAAGCAAUGUCAGUGUGCUCCAGGAUUUGCAUGUCAGGCUUUGACCCAGCAAUCACCAUAGUUACUGGGUUGUGAACAUAGACUGUAUAUAGAAUGGACGCCGUCUGCCUCCUCGCGGGGUGAAGCCACUCCGAGAACAGCACCCUCUGUUGAUGGGCUGCAGUAUAGGUCAUAAAUCCCGCCUCCGCCAGCAAAGCUUAUGGAGCUGUGGACCAAAUUUAGAAAUUAAUUACACAGAACAUAAAUUUUUCUCCCCCCUGCUUGGGAUUUUGACAUGUAAUUAUUGUAAGACUGGUUUGUGCUCAAGUCCUCUUUUUUCUGUGCAGCUCCGUUUUUAAAAGUUAUUGGGGGUUAAUGUUUUCUAUGAUUGACACCUGAUACAGCCUAUGGGCGUUCAGGGAUUGAGUCGCUCUCCCGGGGGAUACACUGUUUGAGCCGAGCGUCAUCAUAGUGACUCUGCGACUGAGAGUACCGAGAGCUUUUUGGCUUCAAAUCCGUAUACAGGCGGUAGGCGGAACCAGGUUGUCCAUAGUAUAUACAGUCUAUGGUUUUGAACAAAACUUCCAAAAAAGAAGACAGAAUGUUAAAGGGGACCUGCCAUCAAAAAUAUUAUUUUGUGUGUUUUUUGUGUCAGAUAAGGUCCAUAUUAUGUCCAUCUUAUGUUGUAAAUGUGAAAACAAACGUCUUUUGCAUUCUGUAAAGCUUUAAAAUAAAGGAACGGGUAAACCAGGCCAAUUGAAAAAGCAGGUCCUUUUGACGUCACGCUGACCUUGCUCAUUAUUAUUCAGGAGCGCGUUCUCAGUGAGCUGUGCCCACUCUCUCGUUCUUGUACUCAGUCACAGUCAACAUCAUUCUACAGCCAGAGCGAGACGCAGCUACCACUGUACCCGCUAUGGGUCUCUUCCAAACGACCAGUGUUUCCUUGGGUUCACUGCCGGGAAAAUGAACUUAAAGCUGGACAGAAUGAAUGAGAAAACACCGCUGGAGAUCUCUGGCUUCUUCUUCAACUUCCACCUCCUCUUCGGACUCGGGGUAUAAAAUAUAUGGUUCAAUACCUGCCAUUUUUAGCCUUUAGCAUAAGGUGACCAGACGUCCCCGAUUUCCGGGGACAGUCCCCGAAUUGGAUGACCUGUCCCCGGCAAAAGCUGUCCCCGAUUUAAGCGUUUCAUGAAUGACAGCAAAAAUGUUGCGUGUGAGCUCAAACAACGGUUAUUACAGUAGCCGAAUGGGUAGGAAGCACAAGUUAGCAGUCCUGAAGAACAGUUCUUACGGGGGUUAUUACAAGGGGCAUGCGCUGCUACUAAAUAGUACCGAGAUGUUGUCUGUGAUCACACAGCUCCUGCACCCUCCCUGCCGCCGUCGCUGCACCGAAUAUCCCCGGAUAUCAUUACACACAUUAGCACACAUUAGCAAAAUGGAUAAACCGAAAUCCGAACCUCCACUGCUGAGCCAAUCAGAGCACAGCAGGCUUCACAGCAGCGAUCCAAUCAGAGCAAAGCUCAUUACCAUAAAUGUUAAUGAGCCAAAAUCCGUUGGUUUUCCUGAAAGGUUUUUUAGGCAUACUAAAAACAAACCAUCAAAUAACUUUUCAGCUAAAAUUAUGUUGCAAACAUGAUCAGAGGACAUCAAGGAUAUUGAAAAAAUGAUAAAAAUGGGUAUGAAAUUUUGAUGGCAGGUCCCCUUUAAAAAAAAAAUGAGGAGGCAGCCUAUCAUAUGAACUAAGGGAACAGCGCUUCAAAGUAGUCUGUGUUUGCAGCUAAGUAAUGGUUUUUUAGGUAUGUGACAUAGUUAGCCAACCACAAGAUGCCCCAUUCAGUUGUAUUUGCCUGAAUAACAUGUCACAGCAUGAGCUUGCACAGCUUUCUGCACUUUCAAAGAGAGAUUGUUGUUCAGCAGGCUAUCAUAGCACUCUAGCAUUUUUUCAGUCUGCUGGGAUCAAAAUUUACCAAUAACCAAAUUCUCUUUGGAAGACUUUUGAAAAAGGCUCAUGCAGGACUCUAUUAGUUUGAUGUUUGCUGUCAAAAACUUUGGGGAAACAUUUCUUUGGGGAAAUAUUCACAGCGUAAUAAAACAUUUUCUGCUCAGCAGUAACUACAGUAUAAUAGUUACUGUUCAGACAGGCUCAUGGACUGACCAACCUGGACAAAGAUCAGGACUCAUAUUAUGUUGCAGCCAAGAAAUAAUUGUGUUAGUUUUGGUAUUAUUUGAGCAAAGAUUCUUGAUUUCCAAAAGCAAAUUGAUUUAUCAUAUUUUGACUUCUAAGUGGACUGAAGGUCCCAGUGCAGCAAAUAUUCAUCAUUAUCCAAGGACAGCGACGUGCUGACAGUACUUCCCCCACGAGCAGCAGUCUGAAUGAUUUGCCUUUGAAUUUGAACACUUGUCAUGCUCAACUAUGGUGUUGCUGUAGGUAUCAUUCACACAGAGGGGAGUUUCUUUGUGUCAAACAUCUGAGUAUUUUUGUACUGGGACAAAGAUGUCUCUGCCCAUGAAUGAAAAUUAAAAUGGACAAGUAUUGUAGAAGAACGAAUGUUGGUAGAAGGAAAAAUUGUGGCAAGUUGAGGGGGGCAGAAGGACAAGUCAAUAAAAUUUGUAGGUUAACAGGCUAAAGUCAGGCUGUGUAAACACAUCAACAUCAAAUAUCAAUGCUAGGCAGCUUCUCUAGAAGAUAAAUGAAAAAUAUAAAUCAUUAAGCAACAUAAAAUGAGUAUGUCUACCACAUAAAACAACACUGAAUCUAGCCAGUGAAUUAUUUAUUCAUUAUUUGAAAGUUUAAUAGAUGCAGGCAUAAAUGUUUAUCUGUUUAGUUGUUGCACGUUGACUGAGUAGAUGAGCUUCUUCACUCGUUGUAUUUAUUAAACGCGCAAGAAAUAGCUCUCAUAUUUUGUUUUGUUUUUUUUCAUUCAAAUUAAUUGUUUUCUUAAAACUGUUAAAAGAUUAUAUGACAACCUUUUGCAUAAAAAAUGUUCAAAAUUGCCAGGUGGAAGGAAAUAUUAAUAUUAGCUUUAUCUUCAAUCAGAAUUUCCUGAGAACAAUAGAUUAUUAUAGUGAGUGUCAAUUCUCAGAUCAUCCAGUCAUUCAACUCAAUGAAAUACACUGCUUACUGAGGGCGGAGACUGCUGUGUAUAGAGACCAUCAGUUUUUGACUAAUCCCAUUAAUUCACCCUGGAUGCAGCCAGCGGGGGCAUAUGAGGUCAAGUGUCUUUCUGAACGACACUUCCAUGUAGACAGAGAGACCUGGGAUCGAACCUCUAAUGUAUUUCAAUUGAGAGACAGCUGACUCCACCAACUGAGCCACAGCCGCCUCCUCUGGAGUCAUAUCAGUCACUUAUUUAGCAGAAAUCCUAGUCCUUUAGUGUCCACAGCAAGAGAGAGCUUCUUUCGGCAGGAGGAAGCUGUCUCAAACUGGAUGGACUGGGAGACAGAGAUGGACAGAGACCAACAAUCAGAGUUAAUGUCCAGCUCAGUUUUAAACAGUUUACAGCUCAGGGUCAGGAGAUGUACCGUCUGUUGGCCUGAUAUCAUCACGCCACAUCCAGCAGGCGGGGCCAGACCAAGCAUCCACACACUCCCCUAAUCACGACAGCCACCAUGACAUUCAAACCAACAUGCUCACAUUGUUUCAUCUGCUCCCAGUGAAACAUCAGGGCCUGUCUCUUCAUGGGACACAAAUUCCUCUGGAUGUGUCCUCAGCCCCUUGGUCGCCGGCUCUGUUUGUGCAGAACCUUGUUUCAUUUGAAUAUCAAAGAGUUUAAGAGGGUGGCCAGACAAUUUCAGCUCUCAGCUCUGAGUCUUACACAGAGAAAUCUGACGGAGGCAACAAUGCAGGCUUUGUCAGAGAGAAGGAAGAGUGAGGUUUCUCAUGUUCAUGAAGGAGGUGAAAUCUUACAAAGCUCGUCUUUUUUUCUAUUUCUGUCGGCUCCUGAAUUUAUUAAGCAAAAGGGAUAAAGGGGUACACCGGUCAUGAUGUAGUCUCAGCUACAGAGCAGGGGUAAAAGGUGAUAUAAACACACACAGUGUCAGGAAUGUGUGGAGAAGAAUCAAAAACAAGAUUUUAUCACAGUUCUGAUUGUCUCCUUCAACACAGGUGGAAUAUUACCUGCACUGAAUUAUCAAUUUUUCUUCUUUAUCACCUCUUUGGCAUGGGGGAUGUUCAGAUGUACAACUGGGGGAGGGGGUCCUUUGAAAAAGUUAGACACAGAGGGCUCUAUUUUUGUACCCCAAAGUGGUGCAGUGCAGGGUGGCGCAGUGGUAUUUUAGUCUGGUGAAGCCCGGCGCACAAUCAGUUUGGUAUUUUCAUAGACUGAGGCGCUCCAAGGUGUGCUAAGCUGGGCAUGAUGGCAGGGUAGGGGGAUGUGUCGACAGAAUCAGCGGGCACAGUGACAUUUCAAUGCCUGCAGGCGGUGAAGAAAGUGCACUGAAAGCUCGCCGAUUCAAACCUGGUCAACUUUCAUUGCAGGCGAGCGCAGCAGGUCUCGUGGUAUUUUGGUAGACCAGCGGAGCAGUGCGCAUAUAUCACCGAUGCCUCACCAGCACGUUUCCACAGUGUCAGGCACAUUUCUGAGCAAUAAAUAAUCAACAACAACCAAUAUUCAGUGCAACAAGUUGAGUCAGCACAUACAUUUAGAUCUACAUCGAUAUAUUCUGAUCUACAUCUUAUUUGAUGAGCGCGACUGCUUGCUUCUCUAGUCAAGCUUUUUGGUUGAGGUUUGGGCAUGGAGAUGUAGACGUGGAUCUAAUUCAGUAACUGUUGAGUUAGCAGUUAAAAGUCCUGUUGGGGUCCACAUGGAUCAGAGAUUGACCAUCGGACUGUUCUGUGUUACUGAUAAACCCAUAACCAGGAAGUAUUUCUCAUCUACUCAAAUUGAUACACAGUCAGGAGUCCGCAUAUGGUGUUUUAUUUUGAAAUACCGGAUGACAUGCGCAGUUUCCAUGCUUGACUUUCUGGCUAGAACGUUCUUCUCUGUGUAGAUUGACACGUAUUGAAAGCAUAGAGCAGAAAAAUGGACUUGGCAUGUAUCUUUAGCAGAGCUCAUCUAUUUCCUCUGAUUUCUUUAUUUUAAUGGUUUUUCCUCAAAUUUGUUGCCUUACUCUUGCAUUGCCAACCAGAUCAUCUUUAUUUUUCCCUUCCUUAAUUUACUUAAUUGUAACACUCUCAUGGUCCUUUUGGUCUCAGUUCAGUUCAGUUUCAUGUUGUUGGGUUCUUGUCUUGCCUGGGCUCUAGUGGGUUUUAACAGUUUCUUGUAAUGAUAAACCAAAUUGUUGUUUGUGUUGUUUUAGUGUUGUUGGAUCAGAAGUUUCACUUGGUUUAGGGCACAUUUAAACUUUAAAAUUGUCUAAAGCCGCGUUCAGACCAAACACGACCUGAAGCGACCUAGUCGCUUGGUCGCUGUAAUUGCGUCGCGCCCUGGUGUGUUCACACCGGGUCCAAAGCUGCAGUCGCGGAGGUCACAGGACGUGGCUGGUUGCCGAUGACCCGCUUCUCCUACCUUCCUUCUCCCUCCUUUUCUCCCUCAUAUAUACAUCCCACAGCCCCUUCCAGCGCUUGCGGCACACAUCCACUGCAAAGACACACACAGACGUUGAAACAUGUAGCCUAGCAAGCAGGGGAAGUUUGCUAUGUUUUCAGAAAAUAGUCUGCUCACUGAAAUAAAUAAACAAACAAACUUACCGGAAAGCCCGACAUCAUGGGCCACCUUCGCCCAUGCUUCUUCCUUGGAGGUGCGGUCCCGGUAGAACGCGCACCCCACAUUGUACAGGACCGGGUGAUAACACACGGCAGUGAUAAGCUGCUCCUCCAUUGUGAUUCUUCUUCUCCUCCUCCUUGCUUCGUGGGUGUGUUGAUGUCAGCAGAGCCCUGAUUGGCUCACAUGGCACGGAGUCGUGGAAAGUUGCUCCCAAAAUUCAAAUAUUUGAACUUUGGGAGCGACACGACUUGGCGUCCUGUGAUCUCGGGUGACCUACGCGACCAUGCGCGACCUGGUCGCGUAGGUCACUCACGUUGCCGGCAGCCAGCGGUCGCCUAGUCGUGUCAGGUCGCGGCUGUACAUAGACUUUGCAUUGGGAGUCGUUGCUCAAGUUGCCGAGGUCGCGUUUGGUCUGAACGCGGCUUAAUACUCAUUUUAUUUAGGGAGAGCCAACAUAAUCAUGCUUGUUAUCCUAAAAAUUGUGCAGCCCUAGCUGCAGGUUUACCCAACACUGAACCAGCCACUGUCAGAGUUCUCAAAAAAAAGAAAAAGUCAUCAAUGAAGGCUAUGUUUUUAGCAGAUAAAGGUUUUUGUGGUUUUGGUUAAAAUAAUUUAAAAUGAACUUAAUUGAUCAGGGUUGUGUCAGAAGAAACCAUUGCAGUAGAACUAAAGGAGAAAAUCAGCAUUUCCUUGUGAACUUCUGUCUUUCCAAAAAGGAUUUUGCAACAUUAAAAUCCCAUAAUCUCCCUCCUUUCCUCCUCUCUUUACUCUCCUCCAGCCUUAAACUUUUUCAAACUGGCUGUUUGAGCACACAUAAUAGCAGGUUAAGCUGUGUGUUUCCAUGUUAAAGACUGUGAGCUGUUUGUUCUGUAUCUGAUAUCUGUUACAUUUUAAAAAAAACAAAGUGCAUGUCCAAAAGGAGAUCAGAACAGAACAUUAAAUCUAAAUAAGAUCACUGAGGCAUUGAAGCUUUCAGAGAACAGAUUAGGAGCUGGACUGAUGACAGCGUGUUGGAGGAAAUGAAGGAUGACGGUUCAAAAAGCCUUUUCAGCAGAUGUGUGUCGCACUCACUGAGACGCUGACGGUAGAAAAACCAAAACUGGGCUGUAGUUGGUUGGUUUGGUUAGUUGGAGCUGCAGGAAGACGUGUUUUACUGUCUCUGGGAUAUUUGUGGUUGUGAGGGGUUGGGGAUGGUGGUGUGAAAAUGCAUUUCUUUAGUUUGUAAACAUCCUUACUCCCUCCUAGCUGAAUAGAGAAGUGUGCUUGUGGUCUGGAAAAUGUUAAACUUUUAAUGUAUGACAGAGUAAAAAGAAAAAAAAAGUGGGGUUCAACUGUGCAGGGCUGAUUCAUCUGUUUUCUAUCAACUACAUCAGGGCUGAACUCUUUCUGAGAUGACACGCUCAAACAAGCAAAUAAAAGAGGAAAACUGCAUUCAGCGUAUGCAGUUCAUAUACAUGGAUCCAAGAAAGGCCACAUGUUCAAUUUAAGGCACGCAACUUGGACUAAUUCAGAUAUGCAGACGAUUCCUAAAGCAGGCAUCUCAUUCUGCAAACUGAGGGUUAAAAAUGUGGUUUAAAACUUUCCAAAGUCAGAUGUUGUUUAACGAAUCUGACUCUGUGUUGUUUAAAUAAGGAGAAACUUGUUCAGAUUUAACUGUUCAACAGACAACAGACAAAUGUAGCAUGUGAUGUAGCCCAUAGCAACAGAAAUGUAAACAAAGGGUUGUGUAGUCAAGACCAGCCAUGUUAAAUGACAUCUCAUGGUCCUAUAUUACAGCUGUGCAGAGAGAGGAUCGAGGAGAGAGGAAGGAAGUUGGAGGAAUGACAACCAGAGAUUUAACAGGAGCAGCCUUCACACAGCCCUGUACCAACCAUCACUCUCUGAUGGGAGAAAAGACAGACCUUAGAACAAUCAGGGUUAGGUUUGAAGCAGAUCAUUCUGUAAUUUGGUUCAUAAUGAGCUGUGAAUAAAACGUUUGGCCCAAACCUUCAUUUGCCUUCAUGAAUUUGCAGAAUGUACGUAGAUCAUCCGAACGCGCAAAAUACUGAGAGGAGCAGAUGCAAAUGAAAUCAUUUAGCACCUGCAAUGUGAUUUAUCAAACCCUGGAACUGAUUGUGGUCGCCGUUUUGCGUCUUUAUUUAGCACGUUUGAAAGGCACAAACAAACUGGUACAGCGUCACGCACAAAAGCCUGCGGUCAUUGUGGGAAGAAGGAGGCAAAAGUGCAAUGAUAGACAUAUUUAGACAGUCAGAAAUAAAAAUAGUAGAGAAGUAGUAAUAGUAAUGCCAUAUUUGAGCUGCUGGGUGACCUAAGGGCUGAUUUAGAGCCAGUCACAAAAAUGAUCCAUGUCAUAUAUCCUAUUGAAAAACUCCUUGUAACACUUAAUCUUCCUGUGUCUGGAUCAUUCCAGCACACCAUCACAGUUAGUGCAUCUCUCAGAGUAGUUUUUUCUAGUGUGCUGUCCAACAGGUUGAAAGCUAUGUCACACAGGAUGGGCAAGUAUAUUCACUUCCUACACACUCCGGACGCAGUAAAUGACAGAAAACACGGCAGGCCUUGGAGAACUGUUGACUCUUGGAGAAUGAGUGCUGUAGAGCUCCAGGUCUAAAAGCUUGUGACUUAUUUAAUUUUUCUGGUAAAUGGUGGCUCACAUAAAUAAUUAGGUUAAACACGCAACAGACAAAAAACAUUUAUCUGAUUGUUUUAUUGAUUUUAAAUUAUUUUAAUCUCUUUUUUCAUUUCUUAUAUAUUUUCUUGCAUGGAGAAAGCACUUUGAAUUGUAUAAAUGGUGCUGUAGUCUACAAAUAAACUUGCCUUGCCUGCCUUGCCUUAUACAUAGUUCCCCAAAAUGAUAUGUGCAACUCCAUGGCUUCAAACGUCAUUUUUGGCUAAAACCACAACAUGCACACUUAUAGCAUGUGCAAUUUUUUAGUUUGCGCAUGCAAUUUAGCGCCCUUUAUUUGGGGUCUUAGUAGAUCAGACCCUAAGAGUGAUUUAUAAAACGAACAUGAAAUGGCAAAGAAGUAGAAGAGCCUGCCCUUGUGAGGGAUACUGGGGUACCCCCCAAAGCCAGACCUUAGGAGGAUGCUGGACUGGUAAGGUGACUGGGCUUUUCUCCAUGGGGCUUAAGCCCAGAGAAACAACAUGCAGUUGCCUUGUGGCCCCACCACAUUGGCAUGAGGUAAGGUGCACUGUAAGCAUGGCUUACACAGAUGGCUCUCAAGGCAGUAAGCCAAGGCCUUGCUGGCAGCAUGGACUAAAAUUAAUAGAUGGACUGGUAAAUUGAUGUAGCAUCUGCAGUACUGUUGGGGUUGUGCCAGAUUGUCAAGGGGAAAAGAGAAAAUCUUUCAAUUUACCAGUCAAUCUUUGUUCAAAACCCUGACCUUUGGUCAUUAACCCUGGGUUGCAACUGGAAGAAUGAGAUCAGGGAUUCAAGCAGCCUAAAUUAGUUUCCUCAGAAGGGUGUCUAGGCUCAGUCUUGGAGAUAGGUUUAAAAGCUCAGACAUCUGGAGAGUAGAGCCUCUGAAUGUUCACACCAUUAGGAGUCAGCUGGGGUGUUCUGGGCAUUGGACAAGGAUGCCUCCUGGACACCUUCUUUUGGAGUUGUUCUGGGCAUGAGGAGACCUCAGGAUAGGCCCAGAGUUUACUGGAGGGUCUACAUACCUUACCUGGCCUGGGAACACCUGAGAACCCCAGUGGAGGAACUGGGGAGUGUUGCUGAAGGGAGAGUGGUCUUACUUGGACUGCUGCCCCCACAAUUUAUGGCUGGCUGGCUGGCUGGCUGGCUGGAUGGAUGGAUGGAUGGAUGGAUGGAUCACAGACAGACAGACGGACGGAUGGGUUGAUGGACAUGCUAAAAGACAUUUCCCUCCAUUUCUAUCCGAUCUCAUGCAGAGGAUAUACCAGAUGAUAUUUGUAACAAAUACAAAGGGUGUGAUUUGGAGGUAAGACCAUUCACUUCAGUUCAACCUCUGAUAGUCAAAAAAGAUGCAGAAGAUGUUCAAAUGAUGUUUAAAAAUAUUAAAUGUUCCAAAUCAACAAUAAGAACUUAAGAUACGAUCCUUCACGUGGAGUUAAUAAAUGAGGAGAGAAAUGUUUGAGAUCUGAAGUUCACCAUUUUCGAAAGUGAGACCUUUUUUUUUUUUACGUCAUUUUACGAAAACACCUCAUUAUGCUGUUGUUUAUGAGCGUGUGUGUGUGUGUGUGUGUGUGUGUGUGUGUGUGUGAAUUUACAGCUGUUUUCAUGUUCUCUCAGAGGUGGCUCACGUUCCCACACCGUGUAAACUCUGAUGGAGAACAUGAUGUGAUUUAUGUGAAGAUGAAGACCAUCUGAUUGGUUCAAGGUGGGGUUCAAUAACAGAACCUUAUGUAUGUACACUGUUAUUGAUCCCUGCUUGUGCACAAACUGUACAUUUACACAAACACAGACACACACAACCACACAUACAAAAAGCCAUCUGGCCUACAUAGACUAAGAGCUUCCUCUGCCAGCAGGGCUGUAAUGAAAUCAAGAUGCAGACAAGUUCCUGGGAAAGAAACAUGGGAAGGAAAUGUUCACAAACACAAACACAGUGUUUCAAACCUGUUUCACACACACCACAAAAACACACAUAAUACAACAAAAGCUGUGCACCCUUUUCAAAGAGAGCAGGAUUUAAAACAGACACAAAGUCAUGUCUCUAUCAGCAGAAUAAGGAACAUACAGAAUAUCAGUGAUUAAUAUCCUGGUUGAUUUGGAGUUAAUGUGCUUUUAACCAGACAUGUUGUGCUGUCAUCACCCUCAUUAAUAAAAUGAGUUAAGCCUAUUUCUAUAUUUGUUUGCACUUUAAAACCCAGUUAUGAUAGUGUGACAUCAAGUUGAACUUCUUGUAAAAACAGUAAACCAUGUAUUUUUUAGUCAAUAAAAUAUCUAAAUGCAUCAUUGCUUUAGCUUCCAAUAAAGACUGUCUGGUUCCUGACUAAACUUCAGGCUGUAAACAUGUUUAUUACUCAAGUCAAAUCGGACAUUUGAACAUGGGGCUCUAUGGGGACCGACUCACUGUGAUGAAACUAAAAAGUUUUUUCAAAAACACAAACUCCCAGCUCACUGUAAAC
rnacentral:lncRNA from 1 species